rnacentral:rRNA from 1 species
ACAGUCACACAUUAGAUACCCGUGUAGUCCUAGCCGUAAACGAUACUCGCUAGGUGUCGGCCACGGUGCGACCGUUGUCGGUGCCGUAGGGAAGCCGUGAAGCGAGCCACCUGGGAAGUACGGCCGCAAGGCUGAAACUUAAAGGAAUUGGCGGGGGAGCACAACAACGGGUGGAGCUUGCGGUUUAAUUGGAUUCAACGCCGGAAAUCUUACCGGGACCGACAGCAACAUGAAGGCCAAGCUGAAGACUUUGCCGGAUUAGCUG